rnacentral:rRNA from 1 species
CAGCAGUAGGGAAUCCUCCACAAUGGGCGAAAGCCUGAUGGAGCAAUGCCAUGUGAAUGAUGAAGGCCAGACAGGUCGUAAAGUUCUUUUAGAGGGGAAAAAUCUGAUGGUACCCUCUGAAUAAGUGACAGCAAACUAUGUGCCAGCAGCUGCGGUAAUACAUAGGUCGCGAGCGUUAUUCGGAUUUAUUGGGCGUAAAGCAAGCGCAGGCGGAUGAAUAAGUUCUGCAUUAAAAGCAGCUGCUUAACAGUUGUUUGUGCCGAAUACUAUUCAUCUAGAAUGUGGUAGGAAGUUUUGGAAUUAAAUAUGGAGCGGUGGAAUGUGUAGAUAUAUUUAAGAACACCAGAGGCGAAGGCGAAAACUUAGGCCAUUAUUGACGCUUAGGCUUGAAAGUGUGGGUAGCAAAUGGGAUUAGAUACCCCAGUAGUCCACACCGUAAACGAUGGGUAUUAGAUGUCGGGAUUUGUGUUUCGGCGUUGUAGCUUACGUGUUAAAUACCCCGCCUGGGUAGUACAUAUGCAAAUAUGAAACUCAAAGGAAUUGACGGGGACCUGAACAAGUGGUGGAACAUGUUGCUUAAUUCGAUAAUACACGAAAAACCUUACCAAGGUUUGACAUCCUUUGCAAAGCCAUAGAAAUAUGGUGGAGGUUAUCAGAGUGACAGGUGGUGCAUGGUUGUCGUCAGCUCGUGUCAUGAGAUGUUUGGUUAAGUCCCGCAACGAGCGCAACCCUACUCUUUAGUUGCUUUUCUAAAGAGACUGAACAGUAAUGUAUAGGAAGGAUGGGAUCACGUCAAAUCAUCAUGCCCCUUAUGCCUUGGGCCGCAAACGUGUUACAAUGGUGAGUACAAUGUGUCGCAACCCAGCGAUGGCAAGCUAAUCACUAAAGCUCAUCUCAGUCCGGAUAAAAGGCUGCAAUUCGCCUUUUUGAAGU